AGAGUUUGAUCCUGGCUCAGGAUGAACGCUGGCGGCGUGCCUAACACAUGCAAGUCGAGCGAUUCUCUUCGGAGAAGAGCGGCGGACGGGUGAGUAACGCGUGGGUAACCUGCCCUAUACACACGGAUAACGUACCGAAAGGUACGCUAAUACGAGAUAAUAUGCUUUAGUCGCAUGGCUGAAGUAUCAAAGCUCCGGCGGUAUAGGAUGGACCCGCGUCUGAUUAGCUAGUUGGUAAGGUAAUGGCUUACCAAGGCGACGAUCAGUAGCCGACCUGAGAGGGUGAUCGGCCACAUUGGAACUGAGACACGGUCCAGACUCCUACGGGAGGCAGCAGUGGGGAAUUUUGGACAAUGGGCGAAAGCCUGAUCCAGCCAUGCCGCGUGAGUGAAGAAGGCCUUCGGGUUGUAAAGCUCUUUCGGCCGGGAAGAAAUCGCAUAGGUUAAUACCCUGUGUGGAUGACGGUACCGGAAUAAGAAGCACCGGCUAACUACGUGCCAGCAGCCGCGGUAAUACGUAGGGUGCAAGCGUUAAUCGGAAUUACUGGGCGUAAAGCGUGCGCAGGCGGCUUUGCAAGACAGAUGUGAAAUCCCCGGGCUCAACCUGGGAACUGCAUUUGUGACUGCAAGGCUAGAGUACGGCAGAGGGGGAUGGAAUUCCGCGUGUAGCAGUGAAAUGCGUAGAUAUGCGGGAGGAACACCAAUGGCGAAGGCAAUUCCCCUGGGCCUGUACUGACGCUCAUGCACGAAAGCGUGGGGAGCAAACAGGAUUAGAUACCCUGGUAGUCCACGCCCUAAACGAUGUCAACUGGUUGUUGGACGGCUUGCUGUUCAGUAACGAAGCUAACGCGUGAAGUUGACCGCCUGGGGAGUACGGCCGCAAGGUUGAAACUCAAAUGAAUUGACGG
rnacentral:rRNA from 1 species